GAUGAACGCUGGCGGCGUGCCUAAUACAUGCAAGUCGAGCGAACAGACGAGGCGCUUGCCUCUCUGACGUUAGCGGCGGACGGGUGAGUAACACGUGGAUAACCUACCUAUAAGACUGGGAUAACUUCGGGAGACCGGAUAUCACACCCGUUAAUAUAUUGAACCGCAUGGUUCAAUAGUGCAAGACCUUUUUGCUGUCACUUAUAGAUGGAUCCGCGCCGCAUUAGCUAGUUGGUAAGGUAACGGCUUACCAAGGCAACGAUGCGUAGCUGACCUGAGAGGGUGAUCGGCCACACUGGAACUGAGACACGGUCCAGACUCCUACGGGAGGCAGCAGUAGGGAAUCUUCGGCAAUGGGCGAAAGCUUGACGGAGCAACGCCGCGUGAGUGAUGAAGGUCUUCGGAUCGUAAAACUCUGUUAUUAGGGAAGAACAAAUGUGUAAGUAACUAUGCACGUCUUGACGGUACCUAAUCAGAAAGCCACGGCUAACUACGUG
rnacentral:rRNA from 1 species